UCUAAAAUAAAAAUGGCAUGGCAGGGAGACCGUUUUGAAUAGGUUGGCCAAUGAGCCAGAGCUGUCAACAAAACCAGCCUGCUUUCAAAGACCAAAGUGAAGCACUUUUAAAAUAUGGGUAUGAAAAAAUUCAUUCUGAUUUAGUUACUUUGUAUAUGAAAAAUCUUUUUUUUUAAAUGCCCUGAAAGAAUAAAAAAUUACAGAUAUUUGAUCCGGUGGCAGACUGCUAAGCCAUAAAUUUGUCAAACCACAAUUUUCUUUCUAGAUACUCAUUGUUUGGCCCCAUUUGUUUUCUGUCCAUCAGACUGGAAUCUCUCUUUUAAACAGCUGUAUCAUUCCAGCUGUCUGGGUGGAAGGAGAAGUAGUUUGGGAGAGGUGGAGCAUGCUUUGAGUAAUCUUGGGAAUGGUUUUGACCAAUACCCAGUUCAAGGACUGGGGAAUUUCAGGAUGAAUUUUAACAGUACAAGUGCACUUUAGGCAGUGACCUUUGUUUUCCCCACAUACCAAAGGGAAUAUGUGCCCUGUAGUCUUGAAUGUUUUUGUAAGAAUGCAGCUGACAUUUGCAGGUGACAAUUUUCCAUAUUCAUAAACAAUUUUUGAUAUCCAGGCAUUGAUUCCUGUUCAGGGCUCAGAGCUGGUACAGACCAGGUUCUGCUGUGUCCAGUGCAAAUAUGAAAGGUUCCUUAAGACUGGCAAGUGUAUUAAUUGGAAGAAAAAAUGAAUCAAGACUUGAAAAUGAUUGACUUUUUUUGUAUUUUUUUCAUCUCUCUUAAAACCUUGGCUUCAAUUCUUUUCUGGCUAUAAAUAUGGUGUUCUAAUAUUUUUUGUAGCUACAUGUGUGACCUAGGCCACCUCCAUUCUUUUCUCCCACCAGUCUCCUUCUUGCAUUUUAGAAGAAAUAACAAUCAAUUGCAGGAGACUCCUCAAAAGCCCCAGGUCUAAGCAGAUUUACUGUCUGUAAAACAUUUUCUACAUGAAAUGCAUUGGUCCAGCAGUGUGAAACAGCAGAGCAUAACCAAAACUGAUUUUAUUUUGGCUUUUCCAGGACUCAAGUAGAUGAUUCAGUGCUUUAUUACAUCGGGCUUUGCAUGUCUGGAUCCAGGUUUUUUAGGAUAGGCACCAAAAUCCCUGCUAAUGAAACAGGGCAAGUAAAUCAAUUCCUUAAACAUGAGUUAAUCUCAGAUGAGGUUCAGCCAUGAACUCAAAGAAAACCUGCAUAUCUCAUGCUCCAAGGUCAACCCCAGCCUGCCCAAACUCUGUAACACAGCCCAAAAUGCUCUGGCUCCACAUUAAAUUCUGUGUGUUGCCCAGAACUUCUGAAAGCCUGUGGCAUGUGCUCUAUGUGCUCUAGCACACUGCCAGACCAGGAGGGGGGAAAAAAGGAAGAAGAAAGAAAAAGGAAAGCCAAAAUCUGAAUUCCAAUAGGUUUUUAGCCAAAAAGAAGACCAUACAUGUCUUCAGAGGAGAAAUAGUCUAGAAAACUCUAAAAAACUUAGAAAGCCGUGGGCAAGAAGUGCCUUUUCAUCAAACUGCUUCCCUCCAUUGCCACUUUAUUUCUUCUGCCUUUAACCUCUAUGGGGGACAAUCAUGCAUGUCACCCUCCCCUACAUCACACACUUCCUUUUCUUUAGCAUCCUCAGAGCAAAUUGGAGAUUACUUUGAAGAUUUGUGUUAGGAAAUGAAGUGCACGCACAUGCUCACAUGCAAACACCUGCACAGGCUGCUGGAGGCAUCUGUGCUGCUCCUCCUUGCAUUUCCAGUGGCUUUUGGUCUGCAUUUCUGGCAACAAAUUAAUCUGGAAGUGGAUAAUGAAGAAAGGGUUAAUAAAAAGAAAACAAAAACAACAAACUUUGCCUUGUUUGCAGUGAUUUUGCAUCAGUUUCCAUGGAAAUGGAAGUAGAACAAGCCAAGAGCAGUGGUGUAGCCAACUUCAGCUGCUGGCUUCUAGUUCUUGCUCCUGUUUCCAUGGAAAUAGAUGCCAAAUCAGCAAAAAAUAAGGUAACUUGUUUUAAGAUAGUAGAGUUUUAAAGGCUUGUCCUUAUUUAACCUCAGUCAGGAAGAUAGCUGGUGAGGGGAGGCAGCCAGCAGCUCAAUGGAAACCUUCAGAGGCUCUUUCAGCUGCUGACUGCUCGUUGAACUCUGCAGAGAGUGAAUUCACAGGGCAGCCACCAAUCUCCAGAAACAUUCUGCAACUUUCCUGCACUUUGUAAAUAGAAUACAUUUUCCUCUUGGCAUGGAGAGUCACAGCAGUCUGUGGGAGCCCAAGGUAAUAACAUUUCUUUGCAAGGCACCCGUGCAAGUGCCUCCUUGGGCUGCCUUUGCCUCCCAGAGUUCAGGAGAUGUGCUUUUCCCAGCUGCAAUAUGCAAACUAUUCCCAUUCCAAAAGCAAAAUGUUCUGUUUCAGCCUACGGAGAGAGAAGCAAAGGAGUGUUAGCUGGGGGAAUUCCUGGCAGUGUUUUACAACAAACACCCCACUUUCUUUUUGUCCUGAUCCACGAAGGCAAAAUUGCACUGAGAUAAAAGAAGUUGGCCAUCACCUUGCUUGUAGCAAAAUGUGGAUGGGAAAGCAGAGCUGAAUCCAACCAGAAAAAAAGUCUGCUGUAAUUUCAAGAACUGAAAUUUCAUCCAAAGCUCAUUUCAUUAAAACAAACUUUAAUAGAAAGCUAUUUCAAGGUUGGCUUUUGAUCCUUUGCUCCUGCUGUGAUGGAACUGUCUGUGGGGAAGAGUAUUUCUUCGUGGGAAGUUUUGUGAAGACAGAGGUGAGAAUCCCAUCCUGGGCCCCAUUGUUCUUUGAAUUUCUCUUGAAUUGUGAUCGUUGCCAGCCAUCCUCCACCUCUCUCUUUCCCCACAACCCCUUUGCUUACCUGCUCCUUAGGCACUCUUUAAUGAGCUGCAAAGGCACCCUUAGACAAGGGAUCUUAUCACAGGCCACUUGUGGUCCCAUUUUUUGGUAGCAGAAUAUAUCUGGAAGCCAUAAGUGUGGGUAUAUGUUUAAAAAAAAUUCUUGGCUGGCAUUUGUGGUGAAGUAAAUGCAAUUCUAAUGAGGCAUUCCUUCAUUUGCAGCAUUACGAUUUUGCUCUUGGAGACAUAAAAUCUGCUCUUGCAAGGGCACGUGCUUUGCUUCACACACGAAGAAUAUUCCCUUGGGCUGCUGGGUAUUACAAGGAAUGUGCUCAUUUCUGACUGGUUUCUGUGGAUCUUCUUUGAAGAAAACCCAAGAAACAUCGAGCCCUUCAAGAAAUUGCCAAAAAAGGAGGCUUCCAGGCCCUCAGGUCAGUAACCUGCACAAACGUCAUCCCCUCCAGCUCUCCGUGGUUCAGCCACUCCAGGAGGAAAAACAGGAGCUAUCUGCCAGCUCCUCUGCAAGCAGCUCAAAGCACCAUGGCACAGCUCAAAGGAUCAUGAGAACAAGCCAGAGAACAACAGGCUGUGGAGCCAAAACUGAGAUCAAGCAAAAAGGAAAAAAAAAGAAAAAAAAAAAGAGAACAAGGUCUGACAUGAGGUGUGUGCAGCAAAAAAAAUGACACACGUGCACUUUUCUGUGAGUUUCAUAAUGCUGGCAGAUCCCUGGAGUGUGCUGACAGCUCUGUCCUGGAAAUGCAGCUCUUCCAGCCCACCCAGCCCUGCUGGUGUCCCCAGGAGGCUGUGGCAGGUGGGCACAGAACAAGGUGUGGCAGGGGGGGUGGAGGGUUCCAAGCAAGCACAGGCUGUCCUCUGCUCGUCCUGUGAAGUGACUGCUCCCUUCAGGAGGGAAAAUCUCAUGGGGGAGUGGAGCAGAAUCCACCAAGUGCAGGGGGAUGUCACACUGGGGAACUCCCUCCUCUGGGCUCUGGUCAAAAGUCACUGUGCAUGGAAACCUCCUCCCAGAGACACCUGGCAAAGCUGAGUGGUGGUUGAGUAACUUGUGCUAUGAGUAGAAAAAGUUGUCCAUUUUUUUUAAAGUUGCAGAGUUAACAAGUUAAACCAAUUGUUGCUAAGUUGGAGUUUUAACUAUAUGUUGUUAAUAAUUUCAUGUUGUAAUCACCUGUUGUUAAUAGUUUUUCUUUAAUUACCUGUUGUUGAUGGUUAGAAAUCCCUUUUUGUCAGGUAUCACCCUGCUGCUUCCUGGAAGAUGGCACCUGGGACUGUGAGGAGGAGGUGACAUCGGAGCUGGUAUGCAAAUGUGGAAACGCCUCACCAGGAAAAACCCCUAAAACAACGAGCCACCAUGGAAUUAAAAGAUCUAAGUGAUAUCUAGAGGUGAGAAACUGAAUCCAGUGUCUGCUAAGAUCCCUUUUCACCUUUCACCCUAACCUAAAAGGAUGUCAGCUGGAGGGAGGACCUUGAAUGUCAGACUGAAAAAGGGGAAUCUCCUGGUGCUCUUGUGAGGACAGAAGCCCCAGCUCUGCCUGCACACCAGGGACACAGCUGCAUCAUCCUCCUCCUCCUCCCUGCCACUCCUGGAGCAGUGAUGGUGUGUGCGCAACCCAUUGGCUCUCCCCACCCAAGCUGAUUCUUUUUAAUAAAGGCAUUAAAAACGAGAAAGAUCUCCUGCCCUAUUUAUUUCAACUUGUAAAACCACAAUCACUCCAUCCCUGCUGGUUCCCUGUGCUGGGCAGGGGGAGAUGGACAGACAGAUUGCUGCUGCCUCCUGGAGAUGACACCCAGGGUGCUCCUGCCUGAUCCCUGAGCUUGGCAAGACAUCCUUUAUUCCUGGCUCUGGUCUCAGGUUAUCAUCCAUCUCAAUUCCAGCUCUGUCUCUGUCAGAACCCAGGACAUCCCUCUGGGUGCCCUGGAUGGCUCAAAAUCCUGGCAGGGGCUUGGAGACCCUGGCAGGAAGCCAAAGGCACUUGGGAAUUCCAUCUCAACCCAUGGAGCAAAUUACCAACUUUAUGUGAAGAAUUACAAGUCACAAAAGUUUAAGUAGCAUAACAGUAGUUGUCACAGGGUGAAAGGUGGAAUUUUGAAGAUUUUUACUAUAGGGGUCUAGGAGGCAAGAUGGAGGAAUAUGGGCGUUGUCCUGUUCUUCUUCCUUUUUCUUCCUAGCCUCCAUCUUCUUGGUGAUGGUGGCACUUUGUCAUUGGUGUAAAGUAGAAAGUCACUGUCUAACACAGGUGAUAGGUAUUGGAACAUAACUGUAAAUAUCAAAUACAUAGUUUGUAGUAUAAAAGACAACACCAGCCCUGUGGGCGGGCAGUGUGCCUCAGACUGACCUGCAGAACAGAC